rnacentral:rRNA from 1 species
UACGGAGGGGGCGAGCGUUAUUCGGAAUUAUUGGGCGUAAAGGGCGCGUAGGCGGCUGUACAAGUCAAAGGUGAAAUCCCUCGGCUCAACUGAGGAACUGCCUUUGAAACUGUACGGCUUGAGGCCGGGAGGGGGUAGCGGAAUUCCCAAUGUAGCGGUGAAAUGCGUAGAUACUGGGAGGAACACCAGUGGCGAAGGCGGCUACCUGGACCGGUUCUGACGCUGAGGCGCGAAAGCGUGGGUAGCAAACAGG